AAGAGUGGCAGAGAGUGAGGGAGCUGGCCGGUGGCGUAGUGGUUAAGUUAGCGCACUCUGCUUUGGCAGCCUGGGGUUCACAGGUUCAAAUCACAGGUGUAGACCUAGCACUGCUCAUCAAGGCAUGCUAUGGUGCUGUCCCACA
ensembl:miRNA